rnacentral:rRNA from 1 species
AGUGAACGCUGGCGGUAGGCCUAACACAUGCAAGUCGAACGGCAGCACAGGAGAGCUUGCUCUCUGGGUGGCGAGUGGCGGACGGGUGAGGAAUACAUCGGAAUCUACUCUGUCGUGGGGGAUAACGUAGGGAAACUUACGCUAAUACCGCAUACGACCUACGGGUGGAAGCAGGGGACCUUCGGGCCUUGCGCGAUUGAAUGAGCCGAUGUCGGAUUAGCUAGUUGGCGGGGUAAAGGCCCACCAAGGCGACGAUCCGUAGCUGGUCUGCGAGUAUGAUCAGCCACACUGGAACUGAGACACGGUCCAGACUCCUACGGGAGGCAGCAGUGGGGAAUAUUGGACAAUGGGCGCAAGCCUGAUCCAGCCAUACCGCGUGGGUGAAGAAGGCCUUCGGGUUGUAAAGCCCUUUUGUUGGGAAAGAAAUCCAGCUGGCUAAUACCCGGUUGGGAUGACGGUACCCAAAGAAUAAGCACCGGCUAACUUCGUGCCAGCCGCCGCCGUAA